rnacentral:rRNA from 1 species
UACGGGAGGGGUUAGCGUUGUUCGGAAUGACUGGGCGUAAAGCGCGCGUAGGCGGAUCAGGAAGUUGGGGGUGAAAUCCCGGGGCUCAACCCCGGAAUGGCCUUCAAAACUCCUGGUCUUGAGUUCGAGAAGAGGUGAGUGGAAUUCCGAGUGUAGAGGUGAAAUUCGUAGAUAUUCGGAGGAACACCAGUGGCGAAGGCGCUCACUGGCUCGACACUGACGCUGAGACGCGAAAGCGUGGGGAGCAAACAGG